rnacentral:rRNA from 1 species
CCUACGGGUGGCAGCAGUGGGGAAUAUUGCACAAUGGGGGAAACCCUGAUGCAGCGAAGCCGCGUGAGUGAAGAAGUAAUUCGUGAUGUUAAGCUCUAUCAACAGGGAAGAAAAUUACGGUACCUAAGUAAGAAUCUCCGGCUAACUACGUCCCAGCAGCCGCGGUAAUACGUAGGGGGCAAGCGUGAUCCGGAUUUACUGGGUGUAAAGGGAGCGUAGAUGGACGUGCAAGUGUGGAGUGAAAGUUGGCGGCUCAACCGCCGGAUUGCAGUUGAAACUGUACGGCUGGAGUACAGGAGAGGUAAGUGGAAUUCGUAGUGUAGCGGUGAAAUGCGUAGAUAUUACGAGGAACUCCAGUGGCGAAGGCGGCUUACUGGACUGUAACUGACGUUGAGGCUCGAAAGUGUGGGGAGCAAACAGGAUUAGAUACCCUUGUAGUC